CAGCCAUCUGAUUACUUAAAAAUUAUAUUUUCACUCUGUAUAUGACUAUAUGUGCUUAUUGAUGAAAUGUGUGCCUGUAGACGUUUAAAACGAUUAACUUCACAUUUGACAAUAAAAAUAAAAUUGUUUCCUGCUUUAUAACCGAGUUUAUUAGACCUCUGUUGGAAGUGAUAAUACCUUCAUGAAGUAAUAAUGAUAGUUACAAAAACUGUUAUCAAUCAUUAUAGUGCUUUACUGAAGAGCACAGAGAAAUGUGACUCUCGACAUCGUGGUCCUUCAAUAAAGUUCACGUGAACAACGUCAUUUGGUUUUCGGAUAUUAAUUUGUAAUUUUUAGGUACUUAUCUAAAACUAAACUUUAAAAAGUCGCAGUGUCAGCCCUUAUGUGUUUCUAUUGUCUUCAUUCCUAUCUGCUUUUAUGAAAUCUGGCAAAUCUGUCUAAUGAUAUGAUAUGUUCAUUGAUUAAUAUGUUCAUUAAUGUACUCCCAAGUGUAAACAAUCAUAUACUAUUGAAUGAAAUUCUUUAUUUGAGUUGUCUCCAGCCAUUUAAACAAACAGGAGAAAACAGUUUAAGUCUAAAUUUUGUGUAUGAUGUUAAUCCUAUAGCGACUUUACAAAAAUAAAAUUCUAUGUUGGCCUGUGUGUAAGUUUAAGUCAUAAAAAAAACUCGCCAUUUUGAUUCACAAUGAAAAUAUGUAUUUUUUAUUUCGAGGAAAAUAAAGAUAUUUUCUAAUAAAAAAAAAAUCAUAUAUCUCUUCAGUAUCAGUAUGUUUAUGACAAACAAAUGGUUAAUUUAACUGACUGUUCGAACCAUGGACCUUAAAAAUCAUAGAAGCUAAAUAAAUAGAAAGAGAUCUUUGUCUCUCAGUCAUAUCACUCUCACUUCCGGACAUUUCCUCAACAUAAAUCUGAACGAAAUACAUAUACUGAUAUCAGAUAAAAGAAAUAAAAUUUAAAAUAAUGCAAAAUAGCAAUCAAUAGACGGAAACAAUUUCAUUAGAAUAAGUAAUUUAUAUUUCAAAAUAUUUAAACUAUGGAAACAUUUUAGAAAUACAAAAAAAACCCUUUUUAAUUGAACAAAA
rnacentral:lncRNA from 1 species